rnacentral:rRNA from 1 species
UGACCUAAACCCUCACCAGAGUAACAAUUGGAGGGCAAGUCUGGUGCCAGCAGCCGCGGUAAUUCCAGCUCCAAUAGCGUAUAUUAAACUUGUUGCAGUUAAAAAGCUCGUAGUUGAAUUUUUGCGUGGUGUUAAUAUUGACUGAUGUCGAGAUUGCACUUCGCUUUUGGGAUUUUUCCCUUUUUACUUUGAGAAAAUUAGAGUGUUUCAAGCAGACUUUUGUCUUGAAUACUUCAGCAUGGAAUAAUAGAGUAGGACUUUGGUUCUAUUUUGUUGGUUUGUGAACCUUAGUAAUGGUUAAUAGGAACGGUUGGGGGCAUUCGUAUUUAACUGUCAGAGGUGAAAUUCUUAGAUUUGUUAAAGACGAACUACUGCGAAAGCAUUUGCCAAGGACGUUUUCAUUAAUCAAGAACGAAAGUUAGGGGAUCGAAGACGAUCAGAUACCGUCGUAGUCCUAACCAUAAACUAA